GGUAUCCUGUCUGAAUAUGGGGGGACCAUCCUCCAAGGCUAAAUACUCCUGACUGACCGAUAGUGAACCAGUACCGUGAGGGAAAGGCGAAAAGAACCCCGGCGAGGGGAGUGAAAAAGAACCUGAAACCGUGUACGUACAAGCAGUGGGAGCACGCUUAGGCGUGUGACUGCGUACCUUUUGUAUAAUGGGUCAGCGACUUAUAUUCUGUAGCAAGGUUAACCGAAUAGGGGAGCCGAAGGGAAACCGAGUCUUAACUGGGCGUUAAGUUGCAGGGUAUAGACCCGAAACCCGGUGAUCUAGCCAUGGGCAGGUUGAAGGUUGGGUAACACUAACUGGAGGACCGAACCGACUAAUGUUGAAAAAUUAGCGGAUGACUUGUGGCUGGGGGUGAAAGGCCAAUCAAACCGGGAGAUAGCUGGUUCUCCCCGAAAGCUAUUUAGGUAGCGCCUCGUGAAUUCAUCUCCGGGGGUAGAGCACUGUUUCGGCAAGGGGGUCAUCCCGACUUACCAACCCGAUGCAAACUGCGAAUACCGGAGAAUGUUAUCACGGGAGACACACGGCGGGUGCUAACGUCCGUCGUGAAGAGGGAAACAACCCAGACCGCCAGCUAAGGUCCCAAAGUCAUGGUUAAGUGGGAAACGAUGUGGGAAGGCCCAGACAGCCAGGAUGUUGGCUUAGAAGCAGCCAUCAUUUAAAGAAAGCGUAAUAGCUCACUGGUCGAGUCGGCCUGCGCGGAAGAUGUAACGGGGCUAAACCAUGCACCGAAGCUGCGGCAGCGACGCUGAUGCGUUGUUGGGUAGGGGAGCGUUCUGUAAGCCUGCGAAGGUGUGCUGUGAGGCAUGCUGGAGGUAUCAGAAGUGCGAAUGCUGACAUAAGUAACGAUAAAGCGGGUGAAAAGCCCGCUCGCCGGAAGACCAAGGGUUCCUGUCCAACGUUAAUCGGGGCAGGGUGAGUCGACCCCUAAGGCGAGGCCGAAAGGCGUAGUCGAUGGGAAACAGGUUAAUAUUCCUGUACUUGGUGUUACUGCGAAGGGGGGACGGAGAAGGCUAUGUUGGCCGGGCGACGGUUGUCCCGGUUUAAGCGUGUAGGCUGGUUUUCCAGGCAAAUCCGGAAAAUCAAGGCUGAGGCGUGAUGACGAGGCACUACGGUGCUGAAGCAACAAAUGCCCUGCUUCCAGGAAAAGCCUCUAAGCAUCAGGUAACAUCAAAUCGUACCCCAAACCGACACAGGUGGUCAGGUAGAGAAUACCAAGGCGCUUGAGAGAACUCGGGUGAAGGAACUAGGCAAAAUGGUGCCGUAACUUCGGGAGAAGG
rnacentral:rRNA from 1 species